rnacentral:rRNA from 1 species
GAUGAACGCUGGCGGCGUGCCUAAUACAUGCAAGUCGAGCGAACAGACGAGGAGCUUGCUCCUCUGACGUUAGCGGCGGACGGGUGAGUAACACGUGGAUAACCUACCUAUAAGACUGGGAUAACUUCGGGAAACCGGAGCUAAUACCGGAUAAUAUAUUGAACCACAUGGUUCAAUAGUGAAAGACGGUUUUGCUGUCACUUAUAGAUGGAUCCGCGCCGCAUUAGCUAGUUGGUAAGGUAACGGCUUACCAAGGCGACGAUGCGUAGCCGACCUGAGAGGGUGAUCGGCCACACUGGAACUGAGACACGGUCCAGACUCCUACGGGAGGCAGCAGUAGGGAAUCUUCCGCAAUGGGCGAAAGCCUGACGGAGCAACGCCGCGUGAGUGAUGAAGGUCUUCGGAUCGUAAAACUCUGUUAUUAGGGAAGAACAAAUGUGUAAGUAACUAUGCACGUCUUGACGGUACCUAAUCUGAAAGCCACGGCUAACUACGUG